UGGCUCAGGACGAACGCUGGCGGCGUGCUUAACACAUGCAAGUCGAACGGUGAUCUUGAGAGCUUGCUCUUGGGUGAUCAGUGGCGAACGGGUGAGUAACACGUGAGUAACCUGCCCCUGACUCUGGAAUAACUUCGGGAAACCGAAGCUAAUACCGGAUAUGACACAGAGCCGCAUGGUUUCUGUGUGGAAAGUUUUUCGGUUGGGGAUGGACUCGCGGCCUAUCAGCUUGAUGGUGGGGUAAUGGCCUACCAUGGCUUUGACGGGUAGCCGGCCUGAGAGGGUGUUCGGCCACACUGGGACUGAGACACGGCCCAGACUCCUACGGGAGGCAGCAGUGGGGAAUAUUGGACAAUGGGCGGAAGCCUGAUCCAGCAACGCCGCGUGAGGGAUGACGGCCUUCGGGUUGUAAACCUCUUUCAGUAGGGACGAAUGUAGACGGUACCUACAGAAGAAGCACCGGCCAACUACGUG
rnacentral:rRNA from 1 species